rnacentral:rRNA from 1 species
AUGAACGCUAGCUACAGGCUUAACACAUGCAAGUCGAGGGGCAGCAUGGUCUUAGCUUGCUAAGACUGAUGGCGACCGGCGCACGGGUGAGUAACACGUAUCCAACCUGCCGUCUACUCUUGGACAGCCUUCUGAAAGGAAGAUUAAUACAAGAUGGCAUCAUGAGUCCGCAUGUUCACAUGAUUAAAGGUAUUCCGGUAGACGAUGGGGAUGCGUUCCAUUAGAUAGUAGGCGGGGUAACGGCCCACCUAGUCUUCGAUGGAUAGGGGUUCUGAGAGGAAGGUCCCCCACAUUGGAACUGAGACACGGUCCAAACUCCUACGGGAGGCAGCAGUGAGGAAUAUUGGUCAAUGGGCGAGAGCCUGAACCAGCCAAGUAGCGUGAAGGAUGACUGCCCUAUGGGUUGUAAACUUCUUUUAUAAAGGAAUAAAGUCGGGUAUGCAUACCCGUUUGCAUGUACUUUAUGAAUAAGGGUCGGCUAACUCCGUGCCAGCAGCCGCGGUAAUACGGAGGAUCCGAGCGUUAUCCGGAUUUAUUGGGUUUAAAGGGAGCGUAGAUGGAUGUUUAAGUCAGUUGUGAAAGUUUGCGGCUCAACCGUAAAAUUGCAGUUGAUACUGGAUAUCUUGAGUGCAGUUGAGGCAGGCGGAAUUCGUGGUGUAGCGGUGAAAUGCUUAGAUAUCACGAAGAACUCCGAUUGCGAAGGCAGCCUGCUAAGCUGCAACUGACAUUGAGGCUCGAAAGUGUGGGUAUCAAACAGGAUUAGAUACCCUGGUAGUCCACACGGUAAACGAUGAAUACUCGCUGUUUGCGAUAUACUGCAAGCGGCCAAGCGAAAGCGUUAAGUAUUCCACCUGGGGAGUACGCCGGCAACGGUGAAACUCAAAGGAAUUGACGGGGGCCCGCACAAGCGGAGGAACAUGUGGUUUAAUUCGAUGAUACGCGAGGAACCUUACCCGGGCUUAAAUUGCAGAUGAAUUACGGUGAAAGCCGUAAGCCGCAAGGCAUCUGUGAAGGUGCUGCAUGGUUGUCGUCAGCUCGUGCCGUGAGGUGUCGGCUUAAGUGCCAUAACGAGCGCAACCCUUGUUGUCAGUUACUAACAGGUUCCGCUGAGGACUCUGACAAGACUGCCAUCGUAAGAUGUGAGGAAGGUGGGGAUGACGUCAAAUCAGCACGGCCCUUACGUCCGGGGCUACACACGUGUUACAAUGGGGGGUACAGAGGGCCGCUACCACGCGAGUGGAUGCCAAUCCCCAAAACCUCUCUCAGUUCGGACUGGAGUCUGCAACCCGACUCCACGAAGCUGGAUUCGCUAGUAAUCGCGCAUCAGCCACGGCGCGGUGAAUACGUUCCCGGGCCUUGUACACACCGCCCGUCAAGCCAUGGGAGCCGGGGGUACCUGAAGUGCGUAACCGCGAGGAGCGCCCUAGGGUAAAACUGGUGACUGGGGCU